rnacentral:rRNA from 1 species
GUCCUUUUGAUAAUGAUUUAAGGUCUAAUCUGCUCAAUGAGUAGUUAAAUAGCCGCAGUAUUUUAACUGUGCGAAGGUAGCAUGAUAAUUAGUUUUUUAAUUGAAAGCUUGUAUGAAUGAUUUGACAAGAAAAUUUCUGUCUCUUUUUAAUUAUUUAUUAAUUUAACUUUUAAGUAAAAAGGCUUAAAUUGUUGUAAAAGACGAGAAGACCCCAUAGAGUUUGAUUUUUAUUUUAUUUUAGAAUAAUUUAUUAGAAAAAAAAAUUAGUUGGGGUAACUUAAAGAUAAAAUUAAUUCUUUAAAUGUUAAAUCAUUGAUUUAUGAAUUUAAAAUCUAAAUUAUUAAAUUUAAAUAAAGUUACCUUGGGGAUAACAGCGUAAUUUCUUUUUAGAGUUCUUAUCAAAUAAGAAGAUUGCGACCUCGAUGUUGGAUUAAAAUUAAGUUUGGGUGUAGAAGCUUGAAUAUUAAGUCUGUUCGACUUUUAAAAUUUUACA